rnacentral:rRNA from 1 species
GGGACACGUGGUAUCCUGUCUGAAUAUGGGGGGACCAUCCUCCAAGGCUAAAUACUCCUGACUGACCGAUAGUGAACCAGUACCGUGAGGGAAAGGCGAAAAGAACCCCGGCGAGGGGAGUGAAAAAGAACCUGAAACCGUGUACGUACAAGCAGUGGGAGCACGCUUAGGCGUGUGACUGCGUACCUUUUGUAUAAUGGGUCAGCGACUUAUAUUCUGUAGCAAGGUUAACCGAAUAGGGGAGCCGAAGGGAAACCGAGUCUUAACUGGGCGUUAAGUUGCAGGGUAUAGACCCGAAACCCGGUGAUCUAGCCAUGGGCAGGUUGAAGGUUGGGUAACACUAACUGGAGGACCGAACCGACUAAUGUUGAAAAAUUAGCGGAUGACUUGUGGCUGGGGGUGAAAGGCCAAUCAAACCGGGAGAUAGCUGGUUCUCCCCGAAAGCUAUUUAGGUAGCGCCUCGUGAAUUCAUCUCCGGGGGUAGAGCACUGUUUCGGCAAGGGGGUCAUCCCGACUUACCAACCCGAUGCAAACUGCGAAUACCGGAGAAUGUUAUCACGGGAGACACACGGCGGGUGCUAACGUCCGUCGUGAAGAGGGAAACAACCCAGACCGCCAGCUAAGGUCCCAAAGUCAUGGUUAAGUGGGAAACGAUGUGGGAAGGCCCAGACAGCCAGGAUGUUGGCUUAGAAGCAGCCAUCAUUUAAAGAAAGCGUAAUAGCUCACUGGUCGAGUCGGCCUGCGCGGAAGAUGUAACGGGGCUAAACCAUGCACCGAAGCUGCGGCAGCGACGCUUAUGCGUUGUUGGGUAGGGGAGCGUUCUGUAAGCCUGUGAAGGUGUGCUGUGAGGCAUGCUGGAGGUAUCAGAAGUGCGAAUGCUGACAUAAGUAACGAUAAAGCGGGUGAAAAGCCCGCUCGCCGGAAGACCAAGGGUUCCUGUCCAACGUUAAUCGGGGCAGGGUGAGUCGACCCCUAAGGCGAGGCCGAAAGGCGUAGUCGAUGGGAAACAGGUUAAUAUUCCUGUACUUGGUGUUACUGCGAAGGGGGGACGGAGAAGGCUAUGUUGGCCGGGCG